rnacentral:sRNA from 1 species
CUCCCACGUAACAGCCUGCAAUGACGUGUAAGAGUCCAAAUCUAAAGCCCUUUAAGGUGGCUUGCAAAGCUCUUCAACCUCUGAUCUCUGGACACUGGCUUCAGUGAGGUGGUCUAUCCAGUUUGAAGACUCAUCAAUCUGACCACAGUCCACUGCACCGAAAGGUUUCAGAGACCAAGAAAUCAACCACUGCCCUACAUGGAGAAAACACGGAAUUUGAGUGAGUGCCUGUAAUCCCUCUUCUCGCUUGGUUGGUAAGUCAGCUACUUGUAAUUAGGAAUUAAAUGAACACAUCUGAAAUAUGUUGUUGAUUUUUCUGGAUACAAUUCCUGCUUUCAAAUGGAUCUGUUUGCCUUGGGGUGUUUGUUUGUUUGUUUGUUUUGAAUGAUGUAGUAUAUGAGUGUGUGGGGUGUGUGUGUAUGUGUGUGUAUGUACAUGUACAUACAUGUUCAAAUGCGUGUGAAUGCAUGAAGUGGAGGUUCAUGCUAGCGGUUAAUCACUGUCCCCUCAGUUCACUGGGAGAAACCACUUGACUGGGAGAAACAGUUGAGACAGGUUCUCUAACUAAACUGCAUCCACAAUUUGGCUGGCCUGGCUAACCAGCUUGCCCAUAGAGCCUCCUGUCUCUCCAUCUCAAGCCCUCGGGUUAUAGUGCGACCACCACACCCACCCAUUCUAAAGACCUGAACUCCUGCCCUCACAACUGUAUUAAAACCAUUGAACCAUGUCUCCAGGCCCUUAGUCAGUUUAUUUACACUGUCUGAAUAAUUCUCUCUCUCUCUCUCUCUCUCUCUCUCUCUCUCUCUCUCUCUCUCUCUCACACACACACACACACACACACACACACACACACUCACACACACACACUUUUUCUUUUAGUGCCCACAGACUGUUUAUGACUUCCCACACAGUCAUUGAACUUUCAUUCACAGUCUUCAUGUGCGCUCUCUCCAGGCAUGAUGUUGCUGUGGCCGAUGUGCCUGCUCCUCUCAGGAUUCUCUUCCUGGCCUCAGAAAGGUCACCGUUUCUGAAAUGCGCCUGCAGCUUUGGGUAUUUUUUUCCUUGGCCAUUAAUUAUUAAUUUUCCAAUUUUAGGUUGGAAUGUGUGGUUUAUUCUGGGGCCCCAUUCCUGAGGCUCUGUCAUUGCGCUUCACUUUAAAAUGAUGAAAAGGACGUGUCAUUUCCUACCAUUUGGCCACAGAGUUUUGAGACAGAGUAGGGUCCGGCUGGUUGACUGUAAGUGCUGAUGUGCCCAGAAUAAAAUCACACCCGUGCUGAAGUCUCUUCGAGUCCAAACAGCAGGUGAAAACGUCAUGGCUUUGGAGCUUGGGAAUAUUGCAGAUCCACACUAUUUUGGGCUAUCUUCAUCCCCUUUAGUAAUCAUCGACAGUCCACCUGUGUGUCUAACCCAGAGUGCUUUUCAUUAUCAGGUAAAACUAUGGGCAAGCAUUAACUCAGCAAAACCGUACCUUCCACCAACCCAAAGGUUAAGAGUGUCAUCAGAUGGCAUCAGAAAGAACAGGGGAGUCCCCUCUGCUUUGUGGUGACUGCUUACCUGAUGUUCUCGAGAAUAUGUUUAGAAAAUGCCUUGAUUUAGGACUUUUGCUCUAUGACUAUACUAAUUUCAUGUUAACUGUUUACUCAUUGACACACGGGUUAUUUGGGACACCCUGAAUCUCUGGUCACAGAUCCCAGUCAUUCAUCUUCAGCUCAGAAAAAAUUUCUUUUGUUCCCUUUGAGGUGAAAGCAGUAUUUUGAGCUGACGUUGCCGAUCUAGAGGUCGCCGGAUUUUUUACAUCUUCCCUUGUGAGUCGACUACUUUCUUCAAUGAACGAGCAAAUAAAUAAGACGAAGGCAGACGCAAAGCAGUAAUGUCUGUGUGGAUGGAUCCACACGGAGUUCCUGGCGUCAUCUCUGUGCACAGACACAACUAUUUUGCUUAGUAUGAUUUUCCUUCACAAUCUAUGUGUAGAGCAGUUGAGUUGCCA